rnacentral:rRNA from 1 species
UAAAGUGGCGAACGGCUGAGUAACACGUGGGCAACCUGCCCUUUGCACUGGGAUAGCCUCGGGAAACCGAGGUUAAUACCGGAUACUCCAUAUUUGUCGCAUGGCGAAUAUGGGAAAGCUCCGGCGGCAAAGGAUGGGCCCGCGGCCUGUUAGCUAGUUGGUGGGGUAGUGGCCUACCAAGGCAAUGAUGGGUAGCCGGGUUGAGAGACCGACCGGCCAGAUUGGGACUGAGACACGGCCCAGACUCCUACGGGAGGCAGCAGUG